rnacentral:rRNA from 1 species
UACGUAGGUGGCAAGCGUUGUCCGGAAUUAUUGGGCGUAAAGCGAGCGUAGGCGGUUUUUUAAGUCUGGUGUGAAAGCCCCCGGCUCAACCGGGGAGGGGCAUUGGAAACUGGGGAACUUGAGUGGAGAAGAGGAGGGUGGAAUUCCAGGUGUAGCGGUGAAAUGCGUAGAUAUAUGGAAGAACACCAGUGGCGAAGGCGGCCGACUGGUCUGUAACUGACGCUGAGGCUCGAAAGCGUGGGGAGCAAACAGG